rnacentral:snoRNA from 1 species
GAACGUUUGAUUACACUCUGGAAUUUAGUUAUUUGAUAAAUUAUUUCAGGAUAUUCUCAUGUCUAUUGUUUUUAAUUGAUAAUAGAGGAUUCCAGAAUAUAAAUUUAUUUGAAUACCUGUACUAAAUACCAAUUUACAUUUCAAACAAGAUUAACCCUGGCAUUUACUCACCGAGAUAUACCCCUGAUAGAUUUUUCAUAAGUUUAUCGGGAAUGGUUAUAUUGGUCCAUUUCAGCGCCAUACAU